AACGUAGGACACGAGCGUUAUCCGGAGUUACUGGGCGUAAAGCGCAGGCAGGCGGUUGGGAAAGUCUGACGUGAAAGCUCCUGGCUCAACCGGGAGAGGCCGUUGGAAACUGGCCAACUGGAGGGUGGUAGAGGCGCGUGGAAUUCCGGGUGGAGUGGUGAAAUACGUAGAGAUCCGGAGGAACACCAGUGGCGAAGGCGGCGCGCUGGGCCACACCUGACGCUGAACUGCGAAAGCCAGGGUAGCGAACAGG
rnacentral:rRNA from 1 species